AGUGAACGCUGGCGGUAGGCCUAACACAUGCAAGUCGAACGGCAGCACAGUAAGAGCUUGCUCUUACGGGUGGCGAGUGGCGGACGGGUGAGGAAUACAUCGGAAUCUACUUUUUCGUGGGGGAUAACGUAGGGAAACUUACGCUAAUACCGCAUACGACCUACGGGUGAAAGCAGGGGAUCUUCGGACCUUGCGCGACUGAAUUAGCCGAUGUCGGAUUAGCUAGUUGGCGGGGUAAAGGCCCACCAAGGCGACGAUCCGUAGCUGGUCUGAGAGGAUGAUCAGCCACACUGGAACUGAGACACGGUCCAGACUCCUACGGGAGGCAGCAGUGGGGAAUAUUGGGCAAUGGGCGAAAGCCUGAUCCAGCCAUACCGCGUGGGUGAAGAAGGCCUUCGGGUUGUAAAGCCCUUUUGUUGGGAAAGAAAAGCAGCAGAUUAAUACCCCGAUGUUCUGACGGUACCCAAAGAAUAAGCAACGGCUAACUUCGUG
rnacentral:rRNA from 1 species